GAAAGAAAGAUAAAUUUUGCUUUGAUUUGGUGGCACAGAGCACGUAAGAGGAAAUUAAAACGUUAGCUGGAAGGCGAGAGGGGACAGAACGGGGCAGGAAUUAAGUUAGUUGGAGCAGAUUGCUUUAUGGUUGUAAAUCAGCAGGGUUCUGAUAGAUGUAAGGCAUUCGUCUCUGCUUCCAAAGAGUUAUUUUUGCUUUUCAACAAUUGCACAGGCCUGUUUUCCUCUGGGCAUUUAGAGAUGCCAUAGCCGAUCCUUAAUUAGAUGGAGGGAGCCCUUCUGACUGUAGGUAUAACCUGAUGGGUUCGUUGUGGGCUGAGAUUCGGAAAGGAUCUUCCUGCUUCCUUCUCCCUCCUAACCCCUGGGUGACCCAGAACUCAGUCCUUCGUGAAUUUCUCCUUUAAGAAAAUAUGAAAGCAAAAAAAUGUAAAGAGAGGCUUUAGAACAGCCUCCUAAAAAAGAUUCAAAAGGCCUUAUUGCAAAGGACCCUUUGAAAUGGAGAAAGGGCAAGACUGCAUUGGGAGCCUGGAAAGAAGGACCUCCUGGAUGCUUCCCGGUGAGGCCACCUGUCCUCUGGGCACUGGGAAGAAGGGCAAUGGGACGUCUGGGGAGUGGGGAGAAUGUUCCAGGGAUAAAUGCUGGCAGGGGAGUUGCAGCAAUGGAUUUAUCAGGGGGGUGGGACACCUCUGCCCCUCUCUUUCUCUCCAUCCCAGCCUCAUCCACCAGAAAGAAGCUGGGCAGGGCUGCAGGUCUGGGUUCCAGCUGGGGCUCCGAGCAUCUGGGCAAGGAGUUUUCUGAAUUCCCUUGUCUGCAAAAUGGGAUUAGCGUUUGGGGCCCUGCACAUCUCAGAGGAUUUUGGUAAGGCUCACACAGACAACGUGGGAAAAUGCUUUGCAAAAUUUAAGCCGUUGACAAAAAUAUCCUCCUCUGAACCUAAGAACGGAGUUCCUGAACCUGGCUUUGCAUGACAUUCUCUCAGGGGGAGCUUUUAAAAUUAUAUCUCGUCCUUUCAGGUUCUAUGGCCAAAUCACAAGGGAUAGGAUCUGAAGUUGGAAGAAAAAAGAAAAAAAGCUAUAGAAAUAGAGGAAUAAAAGCAGUAAUUCUUAGGAUGAUAGUGAUUACGAUGAAAAAUACAGCAAUUGCGAUGGACUUGAGAAGAGGUCUGAGGUCUCGCUUGUGUGAAUCCCGUGGAUUAGGGUUGGAACCUGUUCCUUCUCAGGCUCCAGGUUCUCAGGAGCCUUAGGGGACAGGCUUUCUUGGGGAUGGACCUUGACUAUCGAUGCCUAGUCCCUCUUUCAUGAAAGGGAAAGUCAAGGAAAUAAGUCUAUUUUAAGGGUCUUCUCUGCCUGGAAUGGUGUUGGGUCCACUUCAAGCAUUCGAGUGGCCCCGGGGAGCUCCCAGACCGCUGGCCCCAGAAAACGGGGAGCCCCUGGCUGGAAUAGAGAGCCCGUCUCUCUGAGCAGAGCUGGAGGUUCUGUCGAGUGACUACAGCUUGGGUUGGUUAGGCUCUGUCCUCACCCUUCGGGGCUGAGCUGGUUUGCCUGCCAUCUUGCAAGGGCUGCAUGGUGGUUCAAUCAACUAAUUCUGUUGAAACCUUGGAAGAGGAGACAACGUAUUGUGAUUGAAGUUCCUGAAAUCCCAGGAGGAAAGGAAGCAGAAAUGGGUGGCCUCAAAUUCAGGCUGAAGAUCAAUGCAGUGUUGCGGGGACUAGCCCUGCCAAGCACGCCAUCACAGCAGGCAGCGUGGAGCUUGCAAAUCGGCUCCCACUUCAAUCAAAAGAUCCCAGCAGCCUGGAAGUUUUUGGUCUCUGCUUCUUCUCACUUAUUCCUUAAGGAUCACAGCUGACUGUUUCUAAGGAGCCGCAAACAACAGCCUGUUCAUUUGCUCAUUCGCUCAGGGAUACGUUCAUAUGAAGCAUCGCUCCGAAACCAUUUCUUCUAUGAGGAUCGCAGGGGCCACAGCAGAACAUUUCAAAACAGUUCUCCAAGAACAUUCAGAAACAGGUCUCAAAGGCACAUUGAUUAUUUCCAGUUGCUUUAAAAAACAAACAAACAAACAAACAAAAAAACCCAGUGGGAUUUUAACCUUAUUACUUUUUAUCUCCUUUUAAUAAAGUAACUGCUGCUUAAAAAAACAUCCCUUGGCAAAAAAACAAAACAAAACAAAAAAAAACUCCAACUAAAUCGCAUGUCCUUUCUUCUAGUCAAGAAAGAGAAUGUGUAGGAAAUGGACCCAUCGACCAGUCAAGUUUAAAGAGCCAGGGGCUCCAUGAGGAUAUGAAAGUGGGUGAGUGUUUUGAAUGCAAGAGACGGGGACGUAUAAUGGUCCAGAGGAUCUGGCCUGUUUGUUUGUCACCUCCUCUGAGUCUCGGAGUUCUCCGUAGUUGUAUAUAUUUAAACUUGGUAAUGUGUCGUCAGGUUAGCACAGCUAUGCUGUCUGGGUCCGUGAUGCUUGUGGUUCCUUUCGAUUUUCUCUGCUCGCUGUCCCGUCUGACUGCCAAACAGCUGUGGACUCUGUUCCUGUCCUUUGAAUCCCAUCACCCAGGCCUCCUAGGCCCCCAUUUCUCACUUGGGGAAAAGUCACGCCUCGUGCUGGCCUUCUCCUCAGCUCUCUUGCCUUUUUGCCUCCAACGUCCUCUUCAUGCCAGACUUGUUCUCAUAGAUGGAAUGGGUGUGUCCCCCUCAAAAUUUAUAUAUCGAAAUGCUAAUUCUCCAUGCGAUGGUGGUUGGAGGUGGGAACUUCGGGAGCUAAUUAAGUCACGAGGGUGGAGCCCUCAGAAAAGGGACCCACGGAGUUCCCACUGUGGCGUGACGGGAGCAGCCAGAACACAGGUUUGAUCCCCAGUCCAGCACAGUGGCUUUAAGGACCAGUCAUUGUUGCAGCUCUGCAACCUAGGUUGCAGCAGCUGCAGCUGCAGCUGCAGUGUAGGUUGCAAUUAUGGUUCAGAUCUCAUCCCUGGCCUGGGAACUCCAUAUGCUGUGGAGUAGCCAAAAAUGUAAAAAAAAAAAAAAAAAAAAAAAUUAAAAAUGAAAAAAAAAAUUAAAAAUUAAAAAUUAAAAAAAAAUUUUAAAAGGGACCCAGAGGACCCAGAGGGCUGUUUCUGCCACAUGAGAAUACAAAGUGACGUCAGCAUUCUGCAGCCUGGCAG
rnacentral:lncRNA from 1 species